GUCUUUUAGAAAUAUUAAUUAAAAGUUUAACCUGCCCAUUGAUAAUUUAUUAAAAGGCUGCGGUAUUUUGACCGUACAAAGGUAGCAUAAUCAAUAGUUUUUUAAUUGGAAACUAGAAUGAAUGGUUGAAUGAAAUAUUAACUGUUUUAAUUAAAAUUUUAGAAUUUUACUUUUAAAUUAAAAGGUUUAAAUAUAUUUAAAAGACGAGAAGACCCUAUAGAGUUUAAUAUUUAUUUAUUUUUGAUAAAUUAGGUUUAAUUUUUAUUAUAUAUAAAUUUAAUAUUUUGUUGGGGUGAUAGUAAAAUUUUAUGAACUUUUAUUUUUUAAACCAUUUAUAUAUGAAUUUUAGAUCCAUUAUUAAUGAUUAUAAGUUUAAAUUACCUUAGGGAUAACAGCGUAAUUUUUUUUUAAGUUCAUAUUAAUAAAAAAGUUUGCGACCUCGAUGUUGGAUUAAGAUUAAUUUUAGGUGCAGAAGUUUAAAAUUUAAGUCUGUUCGACUUUUAAAUUCUU
rnacentral:rRNA from 1 species